UCCUACGGGACGCAGCAGUGAGGAAUAUUGGUCAAUGGGCGCAAGCCUGAACCAGCCAAGUCGCGUGAGGGAAGACGGCCCUACGGGUUGUAAACCUCUUUUGCCGGGGAGCAAGCCUGAGCACGUGUGCCCAGGCGGAGAGUACCCGGAGAAAAAGCAUCGGCUAACUCCGUGCCAGCAGCCGCGGUAAUACGGAGGAUGCGAGCGUUAUCCGGAUUUAUUGGGUUUAAAGGGUGCGUAGGCGGUCCGUUAAGUCAGCGGUAAAAUUGCGGGGCUCAACCCCGUCGAGCCGUUGAAACUGGCAG
rnacentral:rRNA from 1 species